rnacentral:rRNA from 1 species
UACAGAGGUGGCAAGCGUUGUUCGGAAUUACUGGGUGUAAAGGGCGCGUAGGCGGUUCGUUAAGUCCUGUGUGAAAUCCCCCGGCUCAACUGGGGAACUGCACAGGAAACUAGCGGGCUUGAGUUCGGGAGAGGGAAGCGGAAUUCCGGGUGUAGCGGUGAAAUGCGUAGAUAUCCGGAGGAACACCGGUGGCGAAGGCGGCUUCCUGGACCGACACUGACGCUGAGGCGCGAAAGCUAGGGGAGCAAACGGG